UCGGGUGUGGUGUACGGAACACACCCCCUCCUCUUGCUGGCUGGACAAAAAGAUGGAAUUGAAGGGAGAGACCCGGGUUCGACUCCCGGUGCCCGAA